UUGACAAGAUUUUGGAAGAAAAUGAAAUCUUAACAUUGUCUGACAUGCUAUUUGUGCUCCUUGCAGAUGUUGAAAAACGUUUUACCUCAACUGUAUUACAGCCUGUGGAUCCAAAACAGCCAGACAGAAUUCAGACUUACAGAGGAGCAGCCCUUGCUAUCCACCGGUCGGGCAUCUACAUACAGACAUGAUUGGUUAAAUCUGGCCACAUGAUGGAUUGGUGUCCUAUCAAGGGUGUUACUGCAUUGUGCCCAGUGAUUCCAGACGUAUCCAAUUACACAAUUGCAUUAAGCUUCCUCUCUACUGAUGCUGACCUCCACUCCUAAUUGAGGAGAGCUGAGACUAACACACGCCCCCUCCGACACGUGUCGUAUAGUCGACUGCAUCUUUUCACCUGCACAA